rnacentral:rRNA from 1 species
AGAGUGAACGCUGGCGGCAGGCCUAACACAUGCAAGUCGAACGACAGCACAGGGGAGCUUGCUCUCCGGGUGGCGAGUGGCGGACGGGUGAGGAAUACAUGGGAAUCUGCCCAAUCGUGGGGGAUAACGUAGGGAAACUUACGCUAAUACCGCAUACGACCUUAGGGUGAAAGCGGCGGACCGCAAGGCGUCGCGCGAUUGGAUGAGCCCAUGUCGGAUUAGCUUGUUGGCGGGGUAAAGGCCCACCAAGGCGACGAUCCGUAGCUGGUCUGAGAGGAUGAUCAGCCACACUGGAACUGAGACACGGUCCAGACUCCUACGGGAGGCAGCAGUGGGGAAUAUUGGACAAUGGGCGCAAGCCUGAUCCAGCCAUGCCGCGUGGGUGAAGAAGGCCUUGGUUGUAAAGCCCUUUGUCCGGAAAGAAAAGCUUCGGCGUAAUACCCGGGUCCUGACGGUACCGGAAGAAUAAGCACGGCUAACUCGCGCCAGCAGCCGCGU